CAGAGUGAUUAUCUCCACAUGUGUCCUCUCUACUUACUCAUCAGUACUAUGUCAAAGGGACUAUGUACUCACACCUGAAAAAUGUUUAGUUAAUAAGUCUAGUUGUUUAAUUUGCAACAGGAUGUAUAAGGAAGGAUAAAGGUAGCCUGCUCUUAUCUGUCCAAUGAACAAAUUCUUACUAACUUUUUAUGUCUCACCUUAAAUACUAGCUCAUUCAUAAAGCCUUUCCUAGUUGCCUGGAACUUUUCUGCAGCCAUGCUACUUCAGUAGCUAUAUAUAUGCCUUAGCAUAGAAGAAACCUAAUAUCUUAUCAUUCGUUGCUCAUCUGUUAUUCAGAUAAAUGGUUUUUAUCUUUGUAUUCAUAAUCCCUAGUUCAAUGUCUAGCACAUACUAUUAACCGGAAAUGUUGAGUUUAAUGAACAAUUUCUUGACUAGCAGAAAAAUUCCAUGGUUUUUAUCUUUGUAUUCAUAAUCCCUAGUUCAAUGUCUAGCACAUACUAUUCACCGGAAAUGUGAGUUUAAUGAACAAUUGCUUGACUAGCAGAAAAGUUCCAUGACUCAGUGGGAGAAGAUGACAGCAUGGACAGAUAAGCAUGACUUUCGGGAAUAGAGGAAGAACAUCUUUUCUUCUAAAAUUGAGGGACUCUCUCUCUGUUGCCCAGGUUGGAGUGGAAUGGCACAAUCUCGGCCCACUGCAACCUCCCCCUCCUGGGAUCAAGCAAUUCUCCUGCCUCAGCCUCCUGAAUACCUCGGACCAUUGACCGAGUCUUGCACUGUCACCCGGACUGGAGUGCAGCGGCAUGAUCUCUGUGCACCGCAACCUCCACCUCUCAGCUUCAAGCAAUUCUCCCGCCUCAGCCUCCCACGCAGCCGGGAUUAUAGGUGCCCAUCACCAUGCCCAGAGUCUCACUUUGUUAUCCAGGCAUGAGUACAGUGGAAUGAUCAUGGCUCACUGCAAUGUCAACCACCCAGGCUCAAGAAAUCCCCCUGCCUCCACCUCUUGAGUAGCUGGGACUACAGGUAUGCACCACCAUGCCCUGCUACAUUUUAAAUGUUUUGUAGAGAUGGGGUCUUUCUAUGUUGUCCAGGCUAGUCUUGAACUCCUGGACUUAAGUGAUCCUCCUGGCACAACCUCCCAAAUUGCUGGGAUUAUGGGCAUGAUCCAUUGUGCCCAGCCUUUGUUUUCUUAAGACACACACAACACACACACACACGCACACACACAUCCCUUCCAAUAAUUUACAGCAAAAAGGGAAAAGAACGACAAAGAAACAUAAUAACUAAUGCCAGAAAUUUCUGGUGACUAUAGAUUUCUUUUUCAUUCAAUUCAUUAUAAUUGGUCAUAAAAU
rnacentral:lncRNA from 1 species